rnacentral:tRNA from 1 species
GCGUUCAUGGUGAUGGUGUUCACCGUGAUGUCGACGUGGCAGUAGUGCAGGCCGUACGACGAGGUCACGGUGCGAAUCUGCGCAAUCGCA